GAUGAAGGAGAAGCAGUGAUGCCGAGAGUAGUGAAGAGGGCGAGAAAAUUACACGCAAUUGGAGUGUCCUAAAAAGCACUCCUGAACUUCGUAAGACAAAGGAAAAACCUAGGAAGAAUGGCAUGUCUCUUGACGAAGCUAUAGAUGAUCCGGAGAACAUAACUGACUUUAUUCUGGAUUUGGACGAGGACGUACGAGUAAUGUCUAUCAGAUGCUAAAAUACUGAGGUAAGUUGAUGAGAUUUAGUUAAGGGGAAUCAGACAGAGACCUACAUUGGUUUACAUGUCAUGGAGUAUACUUGAAAGACAACAGCUGAGACAUUAGGGCAAUCAUAAUAGAUUUAAGAGUUACUGAUUUUAUAUGUAACUCCUAUUUGGUGACUUCUAAAAAUGAAGAUUGUUAAGGAAUUGUGAAGAUUGUAAUUUUGGGAAAGUGCCUGGUCUUUAAAACC